UUUUUCCUGCACUAGAGGGCCGAGAGAGAGGAGAGAAAAAGGGAGAAAAGCUGUCUUCAUUUUCACCUUGAUUCCUAGCAAAAAAAUUGUGGGAAAACAACCUCCAAUCCAAAGCUAAGCCAUAGGAAGUUGCUACAAGGAAGAAAGGUGGGAUGGAGUGGAGUUAUUUUGGGAGAAAGCAAGCUGUCUUUUGCUGCUCAGCUUGAGGAUUUAAGACCUUGCGAGUGGACAAGGGUCCGAACCUGUGCUUGAUUUUGGCAAGCCGUGAACUAUUGGUGAGUGUUUCCAAGUGCAUGACUGAACUUGAUACUUGAAUGAAAUGCUUUGUUAAUGUGAUUGGAUAGUACUUGACUUGUUUGAUCGGACAAGGGUGUACUUUAUCGCACUUGCCCUAAUGUGACUUAUUACUAUGUAUUGGUUACAAUUGGAUUGAUAUAUAUGUAUAUGAUUGGAACACUGCCUGGAAUUUCAAAACCCUGUUGGCUAGUUAAUCGAGUCAAGCCGGCAUGGGUCUGAUCGAUUAGAUAACGAACCCUGGGUCUACUGUUUUGUCGAGUGGAGUGUUAUCUCCUCGACUAAUUGGUAUGCUCGAGUAUUACCACCAUUGUUUAUAUUGGAGUUCGAGCCCGGUGGGAGGUUGAUUGGUGGAUGGAGAUUGGAGUUAAGUGGGGCUCUACUAGACUGGUUUCACUACUUUGAAAGUUGACGGAGUGUCAACUACUUCCUGGCAAGCUAGGGUUGAGUUAGCUCAUAAGAGCGACUGUAUCCUUAUACUUGGAAACGUUGUAUUUUUACUCGAUUUGCUACUUGAAAUGUUAUUGCUCACUUUUAUGAACUUUUAUGCUCACUACUUUGAUAUUUCAAGUUUUUAUAUAAUGGUCAACUUGCUACUUGGUUUUGCAUGAUGUUUGGAAUCUCACUGAGUUUUGACUCACCUUAUUAGUUUCGUUUUCCUUAUAAGGGGUGCGAGCAUAGACGUGAGGCUGGGACAGGCUGGUGUCGUUUAGUUUUUGACUUUUGUAAUUGUACUCGUGCUAGUGCUCGACUAGGGUCAGAAGUUCAACUGGCACUUGAAUCUUUUGUUAUACUUGGGAAUGUAUGAAUAUUUGAGACAGACAUGAGUAUAAAUGUACAUUCUAAGUUUGG